rnacentral:rRNA from 1 species
UCUCAAAGAUUAAGCCAUGCAUGUCUCAGUGCACGCCUUUAUACGGUGAAACCGCGAAUGGCUCAUUAAAUCAGCUAUGGUUUAUUGGAUCAUACCCGUUAAAUGGAUAACUGUAAUAACUCUAGAGCUAAUACAUGCCACGAUGCCCUGACCCUUUUGGGAAUGGGUGCACUUAUUAGAUCAGAAGCCAACCGUGUAUGUCCGAAAGGAUGUGCAUGUUGACCUUCUGGUGACUCUGGAUAAUUGUUACAGAUCGCAGUCGGCCUCGAGUCGGCGACGGGUCCUUCAAAUGUCUGCCCUAUCAACUUUCGAUGGUAGGUGACCUGCCUACCAUGGUGAUAACGGGUAACGGGGAAUCAGGGUUCGAUUCCGGAGAGGGAGCCUGAGAAACGGCUACCACUUCCAAGGGAGGCAGCAGGCGCGCAAAUUACCCACUCCCAGUACGGGGAGGUGGUGACGAAAAAUACCGAUGCGGGACUCUUAACGAGGCUCCGUAAUCGGAAUGAGUGAACUAUAAAUCCUUUCACGAGGAUCAAUUGGAGGGCAAGUCUGGUGCCAGCAGCCG